GGGAAUUUAAAUGGUCGGGUAAUAUGGAUGACGUAACCGGAUUAAUGCGCGUCAUGGACUGCUGAUUAACAGCUGAUGCACGCUUGACGACGUGGCCUGCCAGAACUAACGCGAAGGACAAAACGUCCUGUCACUGUUGGACAUCACUCAUCCUUCUAUGCCAGAGGCUGCUACUGCUCUAAUUGAAUUCAUUAAUGGAUUAAGGGGCCUGGACAAGAACACCCCCUGAGGCAGGUGGCUCCACGCUAGUUUCUUUGUCACUUGAUCCUGUGGAGGAGGACAAGCUACAACGAAGCCCCUAUUCCCUCCCUAGAGCUUCUGGGCAUUUGGUAGGCUUGCUCAGUGUCUGGCUGCCUUGAUCUCCAUCAUUUAGCUCCAUGGCAACACCAUGUGUGGCCCGUCGUACUCUGUACAGACCGUCCAAGCAACAAGGAGGGGUUGUGACCUUGCGUGAACUUUGACUUUAGACUCUCUGUUGACAUGAAGCUGGGUAAUAAAAAUCAAAUCACUUGCCUUUAUGAAGUGCAGGUGGAGAGACAUGCUGCUUAAUCAAAGGAGCACACAUCAGGGAGUAGGAGGCCUGGAGAGGGCUGGACAAGACAGAUGGACACAAUUAGACAGAGACCUGGACCUGGACUUGCACUUUACUCAGAAGUCCUCUGAACAGAAUCCAGAUGCAUACAGAUAAUUGCUAAUGUGUAUUUAACUUUGUAAAAGGGAUAUUUUCCUCCUACUGUAUUUGUUUGUGAUUCAUUUAUGUAGGGUUUUCACAAUUUUGAAUCUGAAAUCAUGUAUGAAGCAUGGAUAAAACUACAGCUGGGUCCAAAGGACUGAGACCACAAAUGUUGAGAAUGUUUGUAAUAUUUAUAUGACUUUCAGAGUUUAUUAUUUAGUAAUUUUUUUUUGCUUUAAUAACAGUGUGACUUGAAGCCUUCUGAUGGUUCAGUGCAGGAUCCUGUGCUCUAAUUGCUGCACCCCUGGUUUGAUUCCCGGGCAGGGAGCUAAUCCCACCACUAAAUGGCUAACUCUUAUUGCCAGUCACAAGCCUGUAUAAAAUGGGAGGGUUGUGUCAGGAAGGGCAUUCGGCAUAAAACCACUAACAAAUCAAAUACGAUCUGCUGUGAAACAGGGAGCAUCUAAAGGAAGAACAACAAUGACAGUGUGACUUGAGCUGGCAUGGACUCCACAAGUUUGUGGCAAAAGCUUAUGAUCCAAUUCAGAUCAAAUCCACAUGCUUCAAUAGAAGAGAUUAGAUAUGAGGAAAAUCUGACCUUUAAUACAAAGUAGUUAACAAGGUCAAUAUCACACAUUCACUUGAAUUUAAAUAGAGAUCUGUAAAUUAAUUUAUAAAUAUUCACUAAUAUUCAUUAAAAAUACAUAUUGAAGGUU